UCUAGGCGGAUGCUGGGGCUAUUCAGGUCAUCACUUUUACUGUGGCGAGGCGAUAGAAAAAUCUCACCCGAGAAACUUCCCCAGGUAACACCUCCCUCGUGAAAACAGAGAGAAAGGAAACUUCCCAAGACAGCCGUCAUCUCCUCCCAUCUCAAACCGAGCAGUCCACGCCGCCGUCUCCUCCCAUUCCCUCUCUCGCACGCCGCCGUCUCCACCCAUCCCAAAUUCUCCGAAUUUGUCGCGCUAGCUACUAGAGGAAGGGCUUGGACGCCGUCGUCGUCCUCGCCCAUCGGCGCGUCAUCCGAAAGAACCCCGUCGGCUCCGUCGAUCUGCUAGACCUGUCCAAGGAGAGGGAGAGCAGCAGUCGCGUUUGGACGCGAGGAGGGGAAGCAGCCAACCGCGCCCGGCCGGCGAGCACCGCGCCCCGUCGUCGUUCAGGAGCAGGACAAACAGCUGGUGACGGAGCUCACAUCAACGCCCGCCGACCACCUCGGUAGUUGAUUCAGGUGUCGGCGACGAGCAAGCACUCCGCUUAGCCUCGCCGUCCGCGCCCACCGACAGUCCCCUGGUUGUUGCAGGUUUGUGAGCCUUCGAUGCUUCCUGGUGUGGCUUUAGUUAAGUUCAGCCCCUCCACCCAUGGAUCUGAUCACACUUUUUUGGCUUAGAUUUUUUCUCAUUUGCAUCUCCUGUUUCUCUUUUGUAUUCUUCUUCUUUCUUUUGCUGUUCCAUUGGAAUUUCGUUGGGGUAUUUUGGCUGGUUGUUGAGAGUUUGUUCCUUGUAUUUUAUCUGCCCACUUUAUUAUUUCUUACCCUUCUUUGAUUUUUCUUUGGAUGAUCUGGCUCUCAUCCUCUUUUGUGGUAUUAGUGGUUGUUUUUUAUAUUCAAAGGGUUGUGCAUCUUUGUAGUAGGAUUAUCAGCCCCAGUGACAAUUGCGAAAAAUAUAUCAUUCAAAGCUUGGUGUUCUUCGCUGUUAUUGUUCCUAAUUUGAACGUGACUUAUGUAUACCUAGGAAGUUUUAGUAGAUUUACCUUCAAAUGAUCUAUCAUGUGAAAUAAAUUGGAUAUUAGUAAAUCUGUUACUAAGACAAAGACAUUGUGUUGUUUUUCAUAAAUUUUCUGAACUGUCUUGGAGGAAGCUCAGUCAUUGACACUCCAGCAUGAGCCAAGGGCUCAGACCGUCUCGCCGCUGGUGGAACUGAUCUUCUUACAUUUAGUGCUCUUGAACAGCGGCUGAUUGAUUUCCUGUACUACAAAUACAAAUAUAUGUGAUACACUACUUUCCUGGACUGCAACGUCAAGGCACUGGUUACUAUGGUGCUUGUCUUGGUCAUCCACAAGCACCAGAUACAGAACACAAGAGUCAAGACUUGCAAGUUUGCCCUAUGCUCACACCCACAAUAUGUUUGUUGAAAUACUCUAGAGAUAGCUGCAACAAGGAUGUAGGACUAUACAUUAAUUGCAGUUUCCGAAUAACAAACAAGAUUGCCAAAAAAAUAUUUUGAGGCUCCAUUGCUCCAAAAUCAGGAAAUUCGUUCACCGCACAAACAUGGUGUCUCAGUCAUCGGCUGCCGAUGUCAUCAAGAUUUCUUCAUAUCUCUGUGGCAUGUUUUUCAUCGUGCUCUCCUAUUUUUUAUUGCAUCUGAUUCAUGUUUGUUAUCCUUCCUUGCUUUUCCUUGUACAGGAAACAACCAAAUAGAUGUUGUCAAAGCAGCUUGAUUCAUCUUUGUUCUCCUUCCUUGCUUUGCCUUGUAGAUGAGACAACCAAAUAGAUGUUGUCAUAGCUAGGAGAGGAGGAGGUGUCUGCGUUGCUGCAGCAUUAGGAAGAGUAUCAUGGCUUCGAAGGUCACACCCUGACGGUGCCUGCCCUGCCACACGAUCCACGCAUGCUGGUACAAAUGGUUCCCUCCUGUGGAUGACAAGGAUGAAGAUCGCUGUCGUCACGGCCAAGGGCCUUGCCUUUCUCCACGACGCCAACCUGGCGGUGAUCUACAAGGCCUCCAACAUCUUGCUCUACUCGGGUCAGUUUGAGCCUCCUUGAGCUCGACGUGAUCGGGGGCCAGUGCUCUACACGCUUGCCGACGUGGUGGCCGUCGAGGUGGUGGUCGUCAUGGUCGACUUGACGGCCAGGAUAGCAGGAGGAACAGAUGUGAAAAAGCGAUGGUCGUCGAGGUCGGCUUUACCUGCUAAGUGCAUCUACUUUUCGCCAGUGCUAACCAUUGUUUUGAAGCACCUUUAUUCUUUGUAAUCAUUCAUUUAGGCUGCAAGACUGCUGCUUCUCUGUUCAUACUCCUUCCUUUUCUUUUUAGUCUGCAUAUAAGAUUUGGUCAAAGUCAAACUUUGUAAACUUUGACUAGCUUUGUAGGAAAAGAUAUCAACAUUCACACUAUGAAAUCAAUA